CCUUAGCAUUCUCUAGAGAAAAUGUGUAGAG
rnacentral:piRNA from 1 species